rnacentral:rRNA from 1 species
CGGCGUGCCUAANACAUGCAAGUCGAACGGGGUGAAGAGCUUCGGCUUUUCACUUAGUGGCGAACGGGUGAGUAACGCGUGAGAAACCUGCCUUUCAGUGGGGGACAACAGUUGGAAACGACUGCUAAUACCGCAUAACACUUUAGUACCGCAUGGUACAGAAGUCAAAGAUUUAUCGCUGAAAGAUGGGCUCGCGUUGGAUUAGAUAGUUGGUGAGGUAACGGCUCACCAAGUCGACGAUCCAUAGCCGGACUGAGAGGUUGAACGGCCACAUUGGGACUGAGACACGGCCCAGACUCCUACGGGAGGCAGCAGUGGGGGAUAUUGCACAAUGGAGGGAACUCUGAUGCAGCAACGCCGCGUGAGGGAAGAAGGUCUUCGGAUUGUAAACCUUUGUCUUUGGUGACGAACAAAUGACGGUAGCCAAGGAGGAAGCUCCGGCUAACUACGUG